rnacentral:rRNA from 1 species
UAGGGAAUCUUCGGCAAUGGACGAAAGUCUGACCGAGCAACGCCGCGUGAGUGAAGAAGGUUUUCGGAUCGUAAAACUCUGUUGGUAGAGAAGAACGUUGGUGAGAGUGGAAAGCUCAUCAAGUGACGGUAAACUCCCAGAAAGGGACGGCUAACUACGUGCC